rnacentral:misc_RNA from 1 species
GCUGCGGUUAUGAGUACGACCUGGCGUGAGAAUUAUUUCCUCCCGUGGAUUUUCAAGGGACGUCGAGAGCGCACCGGACCCAACAGAGGUGCUGGGCUCUUCCGGCCAUUAAACCCUAGCUCCGGACAAACCGAUUUCAGGGUGAUAGACCGUUAAGAAGAAAAGAGAACUCUGCCCGGGGCCCCCGCCGUCGUCUCCACGUUCAGUUGCGUUGCCGCGCAAAACCCACAUCCAGGUGCCGGAAUAUUGACCGGCUCCCCUUUCGCCAGACGGUGCAAAGUGCACCUUUGAAACGGAACUUCCCUAUGGCUUAGGAUCGACUAACCCAUGUCCAACCGCUGUUCACAUGGAACCUUUC